UUUGAUUCAAUGUAACCACGAGUCAUGUAAACGCCAGCUUUGCAUAUAGCUCCAAGGAUGACAUCCAUGUGAGUUGACGCUUGAUGUCACGCCCCCGCCCCGAGGGCGCUACCAAUUUGGCACGGUUCGGGCGCGGCGAACGGACGCCGAACGGACAGCACCUCCCCUGUCCGCCCAAGGCUCAACAACGAUAUCAUGUACAAGAAUUUGCCCAGGAGAAAUUCAUUCAACAUACAUGAUACAACGAAGCACCACUAGUGCUGUACAACUAAGAGCAAGAAUCACAAGUAACAUACAAGUGAAACAAAGAGAGAUACAUUUAGCUAUUACAUCACAUUUAACUUUUACAUUUUGAUUUACAUUUUCAACUUCCAAAAUGAAUACAUAUCCUUCUCAUAAUACAAAAUGGCUCUCCAACAUAAGUAAUUCCCAAAUACAUUUACAUCACAUUUCUAUGUACACGAGGGUACUCUAAUGCAAAAUAGGAAAGCUACUAGCUACUAGGGCGCUAUGCCCUUACCACGGUCCUCUGCCGGUAUGCGCUCGCUAGGCCCUGCAACAAAGUGGGGUGAGAACUAUAUAAAUAUAGUUCCCAGUGGGUUCGGCCGCCGACUCCGCCGAUCUUCCCACUAGGUCUAAGCAGGCAUAAGCAGAUAGAUAGAUAGAUAGAUAUGAAAUUGAAGUGCAACAUAGUAAAGUAAUCUGCAACAAUCUGCUAUGCCUUCAAUAAUCAAGGAUAUGAGCUACAACAUAGUAUAUGAUCUAUGCCUCAACAAUAAUGGAAAUGAGCUACUACAUAGUAAUGUAUCUACAACAUAGGACUAUGUCUCAACAAUAAUGGAAAUGAGCUACUACAUAGUAAUGUAUCUACAACAUACGACUAUGUCUCAACAAUAAUGGAAAUGAGCUACUACAUAGUAAUGUAAACUACACAUGAUACUAUGUCUAAAUAAUCCAAAUGAACGAGCUACACAGUGCGUCGUGCAACUAUGCCUCGGUAGUAUCCAAUCUCAUGGCCAACCCGAAGGUUGCCACCCCGGGGUCAACCCCGACUCACUCUCAAUCUCAUAGGUGAGGAGAAGCUGCGCUCGCACACCGAGACCGUCUGCGGGACAACCCUAUGUGAAAUACUCCGGAGACCACUGCUUCGGUGGAGCGACCACCGACAAGCGAAAACAGACUAGUGAGUAUGAUCCAAUCCUCACAAGAGGAUACCCUAUCUACCAGGGUCAAUGUGCCUCUACUGCACAAUACCAAAUGCACAAUCAAUGCCUCAAAUGCACUAAUGCCAAAUGCAUAAAGUCUAUAACAUGACAAUUGGGAAAAUCUACUAUCCCUAGGUUCAAAUGCCAUAGUGUUCUACUACACUAGAUUUGAUGCCACUCAUUUAUGUCAUGAUGUUAUAUGCGUCUCAAUACACUAAAUUGACAUGCCACUCGUUUUUGUUAUAGUGUCUCUAUUACACUAAUCCAAAUGCCACUCAUCUAGGCCAAUUAUAUGUCCAAGUUCAUCAUCAUUCUUGUCACUAUAGGAUUCUUGUCACUAGACCCAAUCCUCAUGUCACCUAAGAUUAAGUGUCAAGCCCACGAUGCUACACAACAUAGGAAACAUGCAAGGAAUGGAAACAUAAUCAUCUACUAAUCCUAUAAUGCACAAUGUACAAAUAUAUAAGAAUAUGGUCAAAAUAUAACUUAGACAUAAAAGGAAGCCCGGAUGUUUCGGGACGACACCCCCCACCUUUUAUCGCGUUCCGAUUGCUUGUCGACACUUGCAAUCGGCCUCCCGCGGCACCCGUGAUCCGGUUCGGGUCAAACUCUUGCGCAACCCCCCGAACGGCCACCAAUCCGCGAUCUGUCUAUUCUGCAGUUUAUUCCCCGAUACCACGAUGCUUCGAUUCCAUUUUCAUGAUUUUUGGAAGCUUACUCCACGAG
rnacentral:lncRNA from 1 species